rnacentral:lncRNA from 1 species
CGACUCCUCUCCCCUCUCCUCUGUGCACUUCCCGGGGCCGCCGCCGGUGUUCUGGGGACCGCAGCGGGGCCCUCGCCGCCGGCCGUCGUGUGUCCUACGGCCGCCCCGAAGGAUCUGAGCCCCGGAGCUGGAAGCGGCCAACGACUUGUUGUAACUGGGAAGGGAGCGGGGGGAGAAAAAGGGAAACGCUGGGUUGAGACUGACAUUCCAGUAAUAUAUUUCCGUGAGAAGAGUUUUAAGAUGUCCUCUGUAAUUUCCCAUAAGAAAUCUGGUUAUACUGGUUGAUUUCAAUAGGAGAAUUCUCUGCCUGCAGGCAUAGGGUGAGUAAUACGCCGUGUGUUUCAUACUCCCCUGCUAAUAUGAUAAUAAACGCAUUCAAAAAGAAAAAAAAAAAGAAAGAAGGAAAGAAAGAAAAAAAGCACCGAAGUGUUUACAGCGCGUCCCCGUCCUGCUCCGUGCCUCACCGUCCCGGCACCGGGAGCGGAGUGCCGUCCGGGAGGGAAGGGAGCAGAGCGGCGGCGGCCGAGGGGAAGGAGAGGCUGAAGGCAGCGCUCGUUGACUCUCAUCCCUAUCCCGAGUGCCGCCUCCUCCCGAGCGGGAGAGUUUGCGGGAGCCCCGCUACGAACCCGCAGAGCGCAAACGGCACGCGGCCGCGGUUCCCUCGAGCGCCGGCAGCGCGCAGGCAAAGGACCGUUCAUUAGGAUAAUAAUUAGCGCCGCUCUGUUUUAUCCCCAACCCGUUCGAUCUCUAUCUGUUCCGAGACAACGCUAAUAAUGGCAGCGAUUGCUUCAGUAAACAUCCUGCGCCGGC